UUGCUCUUAUGAAGUUAGCGGCGGACGGGUGAGUAACACGUGGGUAACCUGCCCAUAAGACUGGGAUAACUCCGGGAAACCGGGGCUAAUACCGGAUAACAUUUUGAACCGCAUGGUUCGAAAUUGAAAGGCGGCUUCGGCUGUCACUUAUGGAUGGACCCGCGUCGCAUUAGCUAGUUGGUGAGGUAACGGCUCACCAAGGCAACGAUGCGUAGCCGACCUGAGAGGGUGAUCGGCCACACUGGGACUGAGACACGGCCCAGACUCCUACGGGAGGCAGCAGUAGGGAAUCUUCCGCAAUGGACGAAAGUCUGACGGAGCAACGCCGCGGGAGUGAUGAAGGCUUUCGGGUCGUAAAACUCUGUUGUUAGGGAAGAACAAGUGCUAGUUGAAUAAGCUGGCACCUUGACGGUACCUAACCAGAAAGCCACGGCUAACUACGUGCCAGCAGCCGCGGUAAUACGUAGGUGGCAAGCGUUAUCCGGAAUUAUUGGGCGUAAAGCGCGCGCAGGUGGUUUCUUAAGUCUGAUGUGAAAGCCCACGGCUCAACCGUGGAGGGUCAUUGGAAACUGGGAGACUUGAGUGCAGAAGAGGUAAGUGGAAUUCCAUGUGUAGCGGUGAAAU
rnacentral:rRNA from 1 species